rnacentral:rRNA from 4 species
CUUGACCUCAAAUCAGGCGGGACUACCCGCUGAACUUAAGCAUAUCA